AUACGUAGGGGGCGAGCGUUGUCCGGAAUGAUUGGUCGUAAAGGGCGCGUAGGCGGCGCGGUAAGUCUGGAGUGAAAGUCCUGCUUUCAAGGUGGGAAUUGCUUUGGAUACUGCCGCGCUUGAGUGCAGGAGAGGUUAUCGGAAUUCCCGGUGUAGCGGUGAAAUGCGUAGAGAUCGGGAGGAACACCAGUGGCGAAGGCGGGUAACUGGACUGCAACUGACGCUGAGGCGCGAAAGUGUGGGGAGCAAACAGGAUUAGAUACCCUGGUAGUCCACACUGUAAACGACGAAGGCUAGGUGUAAGAGGUAUCGACCCCUUUUGUGCCGGAGUCAACACAAUAAGCAUUCCGCCUGGGGAGUACGGCCGCAAGGUUGAAACUUAAAGGAAUUGACGGGG
rnacentral:rRNA from 1 species